rnacentral:tRNA from 1 species
ACGGGAAUAGCUCAGUUGGUAGAGCACUGGUCUCCAAAACCAGGUGUCGUGGGUUCGAGCCUCUCUUCCCGUG